CGAGCAGCUUGCGGGUGGACGCGCGGCCACACCGGCGGCACGCCGCGCCGCCAUCAACAAGUUGGGUCGUUUUUUUUUUAUAUUUUUUUUUACUUUUUUUGUUUCGCGUUAGGUAGGGAUUAGUACCUAAUCGUGUGGUUUGUUGAUGGUUGGGGUCGAGCACUCACCAAUAGUAAGGUGAGGUCACUUCCCCGCCGUUUUAGGAUGUUGAGGGAGUGGUAGUUGUGACUGAUGGCUGUUGAGCCGUUAGUGGUUGUUGAUGGUUGGGGUCGAGCACUCACCAAUAGUGAGGUGAGGUCACUUCCCCACCAUUUUAAGAUGUUAAGGGAGUGGUGGUUGUGACUGAUGGCUUUUGAAGUCGUUAGUGUUCGUUGGUGGACGUAGUUAUUGCUACGAACACGUAUUGUUGUUGUAAUGAGUCAUUGCGACUUGCUUACCGACAUGUUUUUGGUGCUCGUAUGCGCGCUAUUGAUGCGAUUUCUUGGAUGCGAAGUAUUUCUUGGAUGCGAAGUAUUUUUUUUGGAUGCGAAGAUUUCUUGGAUACGAAGUAUUUCUUGGAUGCGAAGUAUUUUUUGGAUGCGAAGAUUUCUUGGAUGCGAAGUAUUUUUUCGAUGCGAAGAAUUUUAUGGAUGCUGUCUGAUGUUGCUGUGCUCAUGAUGAGCACGGGUGGUUUAUGUGCCGUCUCAGGCAAGUUUGUAAGUUGUGCGGCCUCUGCCGGCAAUGGCAUUUUUGCCUUUAUUUUUUCUAUUCUUUUUAAGUUUUUCUUUGUAUUUCUAGGAUUUUAUUUUUGCUGUUUGUACUGAAUGGCAUUUUUUUGCCUUUAUUUAUUUUCAUUGCUAUAGUUUUACUUUUUUAUUUUAAAUUAUUUCCCUUUCAAGUUAAACUUGAAUAUUUUUGUUGAGGUUUGAGUUUUGGUUUGUUUGAGGGAUCAGCUGGAGGGCCAGCUGGGAUUUCCUCGUUUGUUUUAUUUUUUUUAAUUAUUAUUUUUUUUCACUCGGAAAUCCUUUUGGGUGGGGAGGUAUUGUAGUGCCGUUUCUUUCAGCCUCCGGAUUAGUUACAGGGGACCCGUUUUAUAGCUUUUUUGUGUAGUAUUGGACACAGCGCCAUCUCGCGUUGUUCAGUGGAAGGUCCGGGACCAUCGACUUGCUAUCGUUGGGCUCCGCAGUCGACGACUUUCCACCAGUAACCGGAGGAUGGUGUGUGCCGAUAUUAUACGGAAGGCUAUAUCUUGGAGUCCCUUGUCAAGUAGCUGCUGAAGAAUGUUGGUGUCAAUAUUUAAUACACAUCGGGAAUUUUCAGUCAGUCUCCUGUCCUUGGAUUUGUUAAUAAGUUGCAUUUUGGGUGUGCGACGGCGGCGUCAUCUAACGGACGAUUGAGGUUGUACUGGCUUUGUCCGUGACGUAGGCGUUGAAUUGGGCGAUUUAUAUAGUCCUGCGCCUGCGAGCUGCCGCAUUCCCCAGACAGCGCUCCGCCGAGCGGGUGUGUCCACACCUUCAAUUUUUAGUGUGAAUUUCGGGCGGUUUAUAAGCGUGUGACCGGUGGCCCGCAACUCCGUCGCACGCGCCGCCAAAUCUUCGUAAAUUUUUAUUCUGGUAAGUAAGUUAUACAUUUCUGUCAUCUGUCGUGACUCGUGAGUGUUAGUGUUUGCGGUCAGGAUUCUAAUGUGCGAUUUGUUCCGAAUAGGUGUGGUUUUGGUGUCCGUGGCGUGGACACGUUGCUCCGCCAUUUUGUCCCAGCGUCGUGGCAUCGACGUCAUCGUACGUUGGCCGCAUACGUGGCUUCUCGACCUCCGACAGGUGAGUCUUUUUAUACGAUUUUGGGGAGUUAGUUGGGUUGUGCCUCCGCCCCUAGAGGUUUAAUUUACCCCUGUGUGUUUUGUCCACAGGAGGUGUUUUGGGAUGGCUGUUUUGUGAUGGCUGUUUUGAGACGUCUGUUUUGAGACGUCUGUUUUGAGACGUCUGUUUUACGAAGGCUGUUCUGUUCUAUGACGGGUGUUUUGUACAGCUGUUCUGCUACAGCUACAGCUUAUUGGUAGCUGCUCCUAGUCGGCUCGGCUUCCUUCCCGCCGCCGAGGGCAAACGAGCUAGGGAGGUUUUUAUAAUACCUUUCUUAUUUUUUUAAUAAUGCUUAACGAAUGACCAGUGGCCUUGAAUACCUGGAAUGUACCCUUAGGAUUUAAAAGUUCCAAAUACCUAUUUAUAUUUUUGUGUAACUUUGGUUUUCUUAGUGAUUAAUAAAUUCGAGUAAACCCA